GUGGGGAAUUUUGCGCAAUGGGGGAAACCCUGACGCAGCAACGCCGCGUGAGUGAUGAAGGCCUUCGGGUCGUAAAGCUCUGUCAGAGGGGAAGAAAUGCAGGGGUGCUAAUAUCAUCUUUGCUUGACGGUACCCUCAAAGGAAGCACCGGCUAACUCCGUGCCAGCAGCCGCGGUAAUACGGAGGGUGCGAGCGUUGUUCGGAAUUAUUGGGCGUAAAGCGCGUGUAGGCGGUUUGGUAAGUCUGAUGUGAAAGCCCCGGGCUCAACCUGGGAAGGGCAUUGGAAACUGUCAGACUUGAAUACGGGAGAGGGUAGUGGAAUUCCUAGUGUAGGAGUGAAAUCCGUAGAUAUUAGGAGGAACACCGGUGGCGAAGGCGGCUACCUGGACCGAUAUUGACGCUGAGACGCGAAAGCGUGGGGAGCAAACAGGAUUAGAAACCCCAGUAGUCC
rnacentral:rRNA from 1 species